GAGCCAAGGAUGACUGGCCGU
rnacentral:miRNA from 1 species